AGAGGUAGAGUGGUUCGAGAACGGGACGAGGGAAGACUGCUUAAGGAAGAGGGGACAUGAUAACAAAUAUUAAUGCAUUAAUUAUGACAUUGAUAAUAACGACGAGCUUGCCAGGGCUUGGCACUAAAGUAUCGUUACGCACAAUACAGGAUUUGUUUUUGGUGUGUGUUUCUCUUUUAGAAAACGUAGACUCCUAAGUAGGUUUGUACAACUCUUCCUGUUGCGAACUAGGUGGAUAUCAAGUUCUUAUUGAAAAUACAUACGUGUACAAUUGAGACAUUGUAUGUCACCACCGGGUAAUAUGGAUACAGUUGCGCAAACAGGUGCGGGAUUUGUUGACAGAACGCAUAGAAGUUUUGGCCAGACACCGUUAUUCGUGCUCAUGGUUUAGGGCGAGUUGGUAAGCUCUGCAACUUGUCGUAAAGCACGGGGUUCUCAGGACUAAAUGCGCCUUUCCUGCUAUUCUUCUCCUCUUCUCAGCGCUUCCUGCUUAUGGUGGCCACCGCACUUCAUGGCUAAAAAUGCAGAACUCAAAAUGGACAGCUAAACGGAGUUGAACUCUUCCGUUGGGUUAUUAUUGUCCAAUGAUCUGGAUAUUCUACAACCACCUGAUGCUCAUUUUGGUAUGAUGUGAUCCAUCCUGUGUUCUACACGGUCGUGGUUUUGCUAUAGUUGAAUAAGUUCACCUUUAUUUCAUAUCUCAAGAAGCAGCACCUAAUCAUUGGUCAAUAUGUGACAAUUUGUGCUAUAGUAAUAGAGUAAUUAAGUGAGCUAUGUGCUCAAACCAUGCAUUGAGAAACCACACCACAACAGUUGAGUAGAAAUUUGUUUUAUGGAGACAAUUCUGCCUUUUUACACAUUGGCACACUUGGUAGGACUGUUCACAUCCAUGGCCUCUGUUUGAUUGUUGCCGGCUCUAAUGGAAACAUAUGCAGUCCAUGUCAUGUUGCAUGAGAUACAUUUUCUAUCCUGUUGUCUUUGAACACGGUUGUGUUCCUGUUGGCCAGGCCUUUGAACAAAUUUCAUUGGUCCCUGAUGAGCCAACUAGACACAGACAAACAGGAGAGAGGCACAAUAAAGUACAUUAUUGUACUUUCUUUUCAAAAACAUACAGAAUCAAACCCAGUGUCUGAACAUCUGCUCGUUGUGGCUCCAUGGAGCCGCUGAAGAACAUUUUUACCCGCGGCCCACUGUCGAACUGGAAAGGUCUGGAACAAUCACAAAAAGGGACCUUCACCAAUCCCGUGUGGACGGCUUUAUUCGACUAUGAGGCGUCCGGUAAAGACGAGCUCACCCUCCACAAAGGGGACCUGGUGGAAGUCCUGUCACUGGACUCUGAGAUAUCCGGUGACGAGGGCUGGUGGGCGGGCAAGGUCAACAACAAAGUGGGCAUCUUCCCCUCAAACUAUGUCUCCUUCAAGCCUCCUUCAUAUGGGAAACUGCAGGGCAAUGGAGUCGGCGUGGUUGGGGAGCUUGGGCCAGCCGUAGUGGGGGUGGGGGAGUUCGAACCCGAGGCCGUGGAUUUCAGGGAACUGAGCCUCGAGGAGGUCAUUGGGGUCGGCGGCUUCGGCAAGGUGUAUCGCGGUACGUGGAGAGGUGGGCUGGAGGUGGCCGUGAAGGCGGCCCGCCAGGACCCAGACGAGGACAUCAGCGUGACGGCCCAGAACGUGCGUCAGGAGGCCCGGCUGUUUGCCAUGCUCACUCAUCCCAACAUCAUCGCCCUCAAAGGGGUUUGCUUACAGGAACCCAACUUGUGCCUCAUCAUGGAGUACGCAUCCGGUGGCCCGCUGAGCCGAGCGCUGGCUGGGCGCCGCAUCCCGCCACACGUCUUGGUCAACUGGGCGGUACAGAUUGCUAGAGGGAUGCUCUACCUGCACACAGAGGCCAUCGUUCCUGUCAUCCAUCGUGACCUCAAGUCUAACAACAUCCUCCUGGCCCAGCCUAUGGAGAAUGAUUGUAUGGAAGGGAUAACUCUGAAGAUCACAGACUUCGGCCUGGCACGGGAGUGGCACAAGACCACCAAGAUGAGCACAGCGGGCACCUACGCCUGGAUGGCACCGGAGGUCAUCAAGUCCUCAACCUUUUCCAAGGGCAGUGACGUCUGGAGCUAUGGUGUUCUAUUGUGGGAGUUGCUGACAGGGGAGGUUCCCUACAGAGGAAUAGAUGGUCUGGCAGUGGCGUACGGGGUGGCUGUUAACAAACUCACCCUCCCCAUCCCCUCCACCUGCCCAGAACCCUUUGCCCAGCUCAUGGCAGAGUGCUGGGAUCAGGACCCACACCUUAGGCCCAACUUUGCCUCCAUCUUGGUUCAGCUAACUGCUCUUGAGAGGCAGGUGGUGGAGGAGAUGCCUCAGGACUCCUUUCAUUCCCUACAGGAAGACUGGAAACUGGAGAUCCAGGACAUGUUUGAUGAGCUCCGAGCCAAGGAGAAGGAGCUGCGUUGUCGCGAGGAGGAGCUGAAGCGCGCGGCGGUGGAGCAGAAGUCUCACGAGGAGUUCCUGAGGCAGAGGGAGCAGCAGCUGGCCCAGUGGGAACAGGAUGUGUUUGAGAGGGAGCUCAGUCUCCUCAUCCUGCACAUGAACAACCAGGAGAAGCCCAACGUCAAGAAGAGGAAGGGAACCUUCAAGAAGCACAAGUUGAAGGGCAGUAAGAACGGAGAGAAGAUCAGCAUGCCCCAAGACUUUAUCCAUAAGAUCACUGUCCAGGCGUCUCCGGGGCUGGAGAAGAGACGCAACUCUCCUGAUCUGGGCACCGGCACCUCUCCCUCUUUCGGCCCACGCUUCCGAGCAAUCCAACUCAGCCCUAGUGAGAACACCAGGGCAUUUGGUCUGAGCUCCAUGUGGCCCCUAGAGGCCCCUCCACACAACAAGCAGGCCAACGGGGACCGGCUGGGGCCCCACUGGAGGCCCCAGAGCCCUAAGAGCCCCAAAGUCCUGCGCCUCAGCCCACAGGAGAGCAGUCUUUCAAUGAGAGCCAAGCUUCUGGACAUGGACAGCAAUGAGAACGGAGAAUCCAAGGAUGACUUUGAGGAGUACAGACCCUCCACCCCUGUCCAAAACGGCUCCUCGGUGAAAGAGCCCCCAAGGCCUACUCUACCUCAGGGUGACUCUGGCAUCGAGGAGGGGGUCUCCCCGGCCGGCUCCCCCAGGCCUGAGCACCGCUCCCUGGGAGGCUUGCUGAGGAGCACCCACCGGGCCCUCCUGGGCGGCGGCUCCCUUCUGGCCUCUGUGGCCCUGGGACGACACCUGGACGUGCCUCACAUCCCUCCCAGGGUUCCCCCCCGGACUAAUCCCCCGCCCCUGGACCACCACCACCUUCUGCAGGAGGUCCCCAUCACGGCCCUCAAAAUCCCCUCCUCCUCAGACCCCCCGGUGGUGGAUGACCUUAUCUCCUUCUCCAACUUGGAGCACCUCCCCCGGCCCCUCUUUGACUUCCCCUGCGCCCUGCACGCCCCCGGGGUGAAUCCCCUGCCCCUCACUCCACCUCCGCCUCACCGCCGGGAGAGGGCCUGCCACAGGCACGCCCAGACCCCUCAGAGCCCCCGGAGCCCCCAUUACCAGGUCCAGAGGCAGGCUAGCCCAGCAGACUGGGCCCCGUCCCACCACCACACCAAUGGGGAGGCAGGCUGUGACGCCUGGGGCCAGGGGUCAGACAGGAGGAGGAGGUCCAGCCAAGGCCUGCUCUCUGCCUCUCAACUAGGCCUGGACCUACCCAUGUGCCAGGACAGUCUGGAGUCAGAAGACAAUCCCUUGGCGGUCCCCUUCUCCCUUUUCCCUGACCCUCGCCUCUGGAGCCCCAAAACACGUCGCCUGGAGGUCAACAUCAUCCCCCGCCCGCGCCCCUCCCCCAUCCGACCCCGCAUCGACCCCUGGAGCUUCGUCUCUGCUGGGGGCGGUGGCGGAGUGUUCGGUGGUGCCCGCAGCCCUCGACGGUCAGAUAGCCACCCAUUGGGGUACCAGCCCUCGCCCACCAACCCCUUCACGAACUGUGACCCCUUCCCCUCCCCGGACUGCGACCCAUUCUCCCUGAGAGCCGACCCAUUGUCAGGCAUUACGCCCGACACGCCCUCGCCCUUUGACCCCUUCUCGCCACCGUUCCCCACCUCCCGCUCGGCGCCCUGCUCCACCAACGGGUCCCCAACCCUGCCCACGUUCCGGGUGGCGCCUCUGAACCCGGCCGACUCGCCGCUUAUCGACCUGGGCUGGGCGGCGUUGUGUGGGGUCGGGGUCAAGCCCCUGGAGGUCACCAAAGAGAAGACGCGACCCGGGAGGACUCUGGGACUCAAGCCCUUCAAGUCCCCCACGCAACCCAGAGACGAUCGCUUCUAAACUUAACCUCCAACCCUGACCUUGCCUUUCUCAUAGCACAGAGUUUAUAGAAGUGUUUUUUUUUUUAAAGGAAUGCGGCCCCCAGCCCCCUAAAUGGACAGGUACAGGUUGUGUAUAUCCUGUGUUAGGAAUGAGGAGGAUUUGGAGUCCUAUUCAAAACAAAAAUGCACAUGACACUCAUGCAUGCCCCCCUUUAGGGGAAUUGUGGGAAAUGGGGUGCCCAAACAGUGGAGUGGUUUUGUGUUGCCUUAGAAACCAACAAGGAAGCUAAGCCUGCCUGCCAUCUAGCUCCGUGACAAUGGAUUGUGGGAGUGGAUUUCUGUGCACAACAAACCAACGUCUGAUGCCCAUUUCAUUCCAGAGGAUUUCUCUCUCACAUCUAUUUUGGAGAGUCCGAUCGGUGGGCUUCUCCAGACUCAAUCAGACGUCCCUCUAUCGCUUCCACUCGUGUCGCUCACUACUUUUUGAAGUGUGUGGAUAAUACGAAGCUGGAAACAGCAGCUUGCUUUAUCUGUGGCUCUGAAAGCAUUCAGGGCCUUGGACAUUUAGAGUGCAAUUUGCUUUAUAAAGCAUUUUAAAAGGUUUCUGGUCUUGAGUGGUGAACCUACUUCAGAGCCUAUUUUCUAUGAUUUGGCUUAAAUGUGCAAAGGACUAGGAGCUAAGUGAAGCUAGGUGCAAGAUAUGACGAUGAUUCUGGUCUUACCCUCGACAAACAAACAAACAAAUUCUCAAGCAUGUUUGUCUCUCUCUGCAAUAAAUAACAUGUGAUGGGUCUAUGUGAGAGAGUACUCCAAGUAUGGCUACAGAGGUGCCAUAUCAUCCAAUCGAUAAUUCCUUAGAGAUCCCCUGGAUAUUAAAGCCAAACAAACCCAGGACCCAGGCAUUCAAAACAGGAAAAAGAUAACAUUCCAAUAACAUUCUGACCACAUUCCCAAAAUGCGACUGAUUUUAUUUUGGCAGGUCAGCAGGCGACAAAGCCUGGUGAGACUAGAGGCGCCUCAAAGCACAUUCCGUUCAUGUGGCAAAGAAUGUGACUGCUUCAGCCCACAGCGUUAUACAUGUUUGCCCUUACAGUAUGGCAGAGUGGUAGGGCGCAUAACAAUAGCCCCUCUCCCAUUUGUCCAGUAUUAUCUACCAGGAUUGGUCUGUCCAGUCCAACAAGGGAAUACUGUUAAAUCUUGAUUGGAUGAAAUCCUGGAAGGAGCAACUUAAGGAGGAUCACUGACUAUUACACUCAUUUAUUAGUGACUAAUUGGCAUGUUAGAAGGGAAGCUACAGUAUAAUAGCCUGCAAACAAAUUGAUAUCCUCUCACAAGAAAACGUGCCAUUAGAAGCCAAUGGCUGUUUCGUUCUAGGGGAAGAGAGUUUACCCAAGUGGCAAGCUUUGUAAUUAGUCUUAAUGACUGUGCUGACAAACUGAGUGAUAAUAUUAAUUAGGAUUGUGAUAAGGACAGGGUUAAUUUAUUAACAUGGAGAUAUUUGCCUAAUUGAUACAUUUCCCCCAACAUAAAGUUUAGACUAAAUGAGUCGGUUUCUUAAAAGGGAUUUAAGCAGUGCUGUUCGAUAUCGCAUCCACGGCAGGAGUCCCCUUUAAUGCGAUUCCAGAUGAUACAGAAGCCUGCCCCCUUUAGAGCAAUGCCUCAUUAUAAGGGUUUGGAGUUUUUCCUGGCCAAUGGACAUGACCAGGGGAUCAGAGUACUUCGUUCCUGGUCAGGUCGCGUGACAAAGGGCCCAGAGUACUUCGUUCCUGGUCAGGUCGCGGGACCAGGGGCACAGAGUACUUCGUUCCUGGUCAGGUCGUGUGACAAAGGGCCCAGAGUACUUCGGUCCUGGUCAGGUCGCGUGACAAAGGGCCCAGAGUACUUCGUUCCUGGUCAGGUCGCGUGACAAAGGGCCCAGAGUUCUUCGUUCCUGGUCAGGUCGCGGGACCAGGGGCACAGAGUACUUUGUUCCUGGUCAGGUCGCGGGACCAGGGGCACAGAGUUCUUCGUUCCUGGUCAGGUCAGAUGGUCAGCAGAGACUCCUAGCCUUACCCACCACUUAUAUCCCCCUUCUUCUCAGGUCAGGCAAACUGCUCCGCUCUUGAUCCAAAGAGAUUGGGUCUGUUUUCGCUUCACACCAUUGACUACUGACUGGACUGCAUCUCAACCUAUAAGGUGCCUCCCCUCUCUACCUCUCCCCCUAUGUGAUGUGCACAUAACUACUUAGAGACAUAUCAUCUUUGAUCUUUGUCAUCGUUCUUAUUGAGAUUUGUUUGAGAGGCAGGUGUGGCCUGAGACUACAGUAUAUGUCAACCCCAAAUCGGUCUGUCAUCAUUUCAUAUCCGAUAUAGAACAGAAAGUGAGCAUUCAUUCCAGGCGAAGAUACAUGUCCUAUGGAAUUUCAAUUGUGAUUAUUGGAAAUAAACAGCUAGCGGCGUCAAUGUCUGAGUCGAUAAGGGCAGUCCAGUGCAACUCUGAGUAGGAGUGGUCUAGUCAUCACCAAAGGACAAGGAAAUGGCCAAGGAUGUUUAGGAUUCUAAAAGUCAAUUGCAAAAAGUAAUUUUAUUCCCAUUCAUAGUAUUACAAAUUGGUAUUUCAAAAGGGUCCUUUCUAGGUUUAGUUUGUAGAUUUGUAAACCAUCCAUGCAGUGCCCUGUGACACUGAAUGCUCAAAUACACCCUUAUUGUACUGACUUGUGUUCCAACCCAACACCCCACGGUGUGUGUGAAUGCCUGCCAAAAAACUAGUGUACAUAUAUGGAAUAGGGUGCCAUUGAAUAUAGAGCAGCUCCUCCGCUCUGCGCCCCUGGCUUUUCCCUCUCCCAUCACAGAGUCAUCUAAAGCUGUGGCAGGUAUGUUAUUGCCUACUAUACUAGUCCAUACAAGACCCCUGCACUUUAGCCUCAACAUACAAGUCAACAGACAACCCCUGUAAUUCCCAUAGGGAUGAAACUGAGACUGAUGGUCGAAAUUGUCGCAAGAGCAUCGGUAUUGCUGCCUGUCUGUCUGUCUGUCUCGUCAUGUGUCCGUCUGUCUCGGUCCAAGCCCUCGUGUCCGUCUGUCUCGUCAUGUGUCAGUCUGUCUCGGUCCAAGCCCUCGUGUCCGUCUGU